rnacentral:rRNA from 1 species
CACGUAGGGGGCAAGCGUUGUUCGGAAUUACUGGGCGUAAAGGGCGCGUAGGCGGCACAGCAAGUCGGGAGUGAAAGCCCGGGGCUCAACCCCGGAACUGCUUUCGAAACUGCUGAGCUAGAGUACAGAAGGGGCAACCGGAAUUCCCAGUGUAGCGGUGAAAUGCGUAGAUAUUGGGAAGAACACCUGAGGCGAAGGCGGGUUGCUGGGCUGAUACUGACGCUGAGGCGCGAAAGCCAGGGGAGCAAACGGG